AUUGAACGCUGGCGGCAGGCUUAACACAUGCAAGUCGAGCGGGGUGAUGGUGCUUGCACUAUCACUUAGCGGCGGACGGGUGAGUAAUGCUUAGGAAUCUGCCUAUUAGUGGGGGACAACAUCUCGAAAGGGAUGCUAAUACCGCAUACGUCCUACGGGGGAAAGCAGGGGAUCACUUGUGACCUUGCGCUAAUAGAUGAGCCUAAGUCGGAUUAGCUAGUUGGUGGGGUAAAGGCCUACCAAGGCGACGAUCUGUAGCGGGUCUGAGAGGAUGAUCCGCCACAAGGGGACUGAGACACGGCCCAGACUCCUACGGGAGGAAGCAGUGGGGAAUAUUGGACAAUGGGGGGAACCCUGAUCCAGCCAUGCCGCGUGUGUGAAGAAGGCCUUAUGGUUGUAAAGCACUUUAAGCGAGGAGGAGGCUCUUUUGGUUAAUACCCAAGAUGAGUGGACGUUACUCGCAGAAUAAGCACCGGCUAACUCUGUGCCAGCCGCCGCGGUAA
rnacentral:rRNA from 1 species